AGCGAACGCUGGCGGCAGGCCUAAUACAUGCAAGUCGAACGGCUCUUCGGAGCAGUGGCGGACGGGUGAGUAACGCGUGGGAACGUGCCCUUUGGUUCGGAACAACACAGGGAAACGUGUGCUAAGACCGAAUGUGCCCUUGGGGGGAAAGGUUUAUCGCCCGUGGAGCGGCCUGCGUUGGAUUCGCUAGUUGGUGGGGUAAUGGCCCACCCAGGCUAAGAUCCAUAGCUGGUCUGAGAGGAUGAUCAGCCACACUGGGACUGAGACACGGCCCCGACUCCUACGGGAGGCAGCAGUAGGGAAUCUUGCGCAAUGGGCGAAAGCCUGACGCAGCCAUGCCGCGUGAAUGAUGAAGGUCUUAGGAUUGUAAAAUUCUUUCACCGGGGAAGAUAAUGACGGUACCCGGAGAAGAAGCCCCGGCUAACUUCGUGCCAGCAGCCGCCGUAA
rnacentral:rRNA from 1 species